rnacentral:rRNA from 1 species
UACGUAGGGAGCAAGCGUUGUCCGGAAUCAUUGGGCGUAAAGCGCGCGUAGGCGGCCUCAUAAGUCCGUUGUGAAAGUCAAAGGCUCAACCUUUGAAAGCCGAUGGAUACUGUGAGGCUAGAGUCCGGAAGAGGCGAGUGGAAUUCCUGGUGUAGCGGUGGAAUGCGUAGAGAUCAGGAAGAACACCGGUGGCGAAGGCGCUCUGCUAGGCCGCAACUGACACUGAGGGACGAAAGCUAGGGGAGCGAAUGGG